UGGACUUGUACUCGUGACAGCGGUCCAGUCUUCCUUUGUAGCGAACAAACUUUUAAGAAGUACGCCGUAACAUCCAGCAGACCCAGAGGAUGAAACUUACCCACAGUGGCCCGGAUGAGCGGCGACGAGUCACCGAUGUUUUGGAGGCACUCGCUCUUGAUGAAAUCAGACACGCCAUUAGGGAAAUUUUGAUAGUGGGCUUUCACAUUGUUCUUCAGGAUCAGCCCACUCAGGGACCGGGUGGGUUCAUCUUCGGGGGUGGAGAGUAAAACUGAUUAAUGGUUUGUUAAUGUUUCAGCUGAGUGCAAACACACUGUUAGAUUCAAGUUACAGGGCAGAGUUAAGAGUGUUUAAUAACUUUGUUUUUAAAUGGCCAUAAUGCCGUUUUAUUCAACUCAGCACAGAAGGAAUAAUCAUAAUCCUUCUUCACCUGUGCUGCUGAAAAGUGCAAAAAAAUACCCACUAAAACAAAAACUUCUGGACUUAUUAUUGAGCUCUGUUGUGAACACUUGUGGUUUGUGAUAUCUUUACAAGAAGCAAUAAUCUUAGCAUCCAUAAACGUCUCAACACUCCUCAAAAUUCAUCUACUAUUCUGAUGGUCGAGCCCAGAGUUCAAUGUUGCCAAGAAUUGGGUUUAAAAUUAGAGUGACCCAUAUUCUGAGUGCCACAUCAUCCGUGGCAAAGAAGCCACGGGGUCAGCCAAGUCACGGCCGAACAGACCUGUCACUGAGCACUUAUGUAAAAAAAGAAUGUUUUAAAAAACAUGUCUGAUGUUCACGCUGUCUGGUAGCAUCAGGUGUAAGAACACGAAGCAGAUACGACAAAGUAACAACAAAACAGAGAGGUGGAGAGCUUACCUUCUGAUUUUAACUUUGUUAGAACAAAUAUUAAGUAGUUGUUGAAGUCUGGGUACUGGUUCAGCUGCUCGAGUCUCUGGGAACAGUGGUUGAGGAAGACAACUGUGCGUAUACGAUUCAUUACAUUCAAAUGCAUGACUGCAAAAAGAGCUUCACUUCCAUGUGAGGAGAAGAAUAAUAAAGGUUUAUGUGCAGGUG